UGAUUAAUCUGGUCGGGGUCAAUGGGCGAUCACGAAGGCCGGUGGCUUAGAGAGGCUACUUCCAUUGCUCUUAGGGGAGGGAUCUUCCUCGCAUCUCUCAUUGAGGAGAGUGCGCGUCAUAAUCUUUGGCAUCAUAGAUUCGUGUUUGU
rnacentral:snRNA from 9 species